AAGUCGUAACAAGGUCUCCGUAGGUGAACCUGCGGAGGGAUCAUUAACACGUUAUCCAACACGUUAUUAAAACCAAAACCGUGCUCCUCUUCUUGCCCAUUACUGGAAGGUGUAUAUGUAAGCCAUAGGAUAGAUUCAAGUGUUUACUCACUUGUCUGCUUGCAGUACUACGAUCUCUUUAUUGAGGAUCAAACCGCUCUGGUAUGGUGUAUCAAACGCUAUCUUGGUUAUCAGUGCCACCCCGGUAUCGACCCGGAGCCUGGUAGCCUUAUUAAUCCCUAUUUUUUAACCCCUUUAAUU
rnacentral:misc_RNA from 1 species